GUAGUACUUUCUCCGUCCGAAAAUACUUGUCAUUAAAAUGAAUAAAAGGGGAUGUAUCUAGAUGUAUUUUAGUUCUACAUACAUAUCUUUUUAUUCAUUUUGAUGACAAGUAUUUUCGGAUGGAGGGAGUACUAG
rnacentral:pre_miRNA from 1 species